UCACAGGAACCAGCCUGGACCUGGACCUGGACUUGGACCCAGCUGUGUUUCCAUGAAGAGCGACCGGCCAGUGGAACAACCUCUUCAUUUCAGAUCAGACCAGCAGAAUCAACCUGAACCAGGACCUGAACCUGGACCUGGACCUGAGCCCAGCUGUUUGUCCUUUAAGAGCGACCAGUCAAUGGACCAUUUUCUUGAGUUUAAAUCAGAGCCACAGAGAGUGGACCAGCAGAGCUCAGAGCUUCCCAGUGGUCAGUCUGCCCAGCCGCAUCAAACACAGCU